rnacentral:rRNA from 1 species
GACGAACGCUGGCGGCGUGCUUAACACAUGCAAGUCGAACGGAAAGGCCCUGCUUUUGUGGGGUUCUCGAGUGGCGAACGGGUGAGUAACACGUGAGUAACCUGCCCUUGACUUUGGGAUAACUUCAGGAAACUGGGGCUAAUACCGGAUAGAAGCUCCUGCUGCAUGGUGGGGGUUGGAAAGUUUCGGCGGUUGGGGAUGGACUCGCGGCUUAUCAGCUUGUUUGUGGGGUAGUGGCUUACCAAGGCUUUGACGGGUAGCCGGCCUGAGAGGGUGACCGGCCACAUUGGGACUGCGAUACGGACCAGUAUGCUACGGGAGGCAGUAGUGGGGAAUAUUGCACAAUGGGCGGAAGCCUGAUGCAGCAACGCCGCGUGCGGGAUGACGGCCUUCGGGUUGUAAACCGAUUUCGCAUGUGACGAAGAGUGAGUGACGGUAAUGGGUAAAGAAGCACCGGCUAACUACGUG